GACUGAAGAAAUAUUUCUCCGACUUGGCUAUCGCGGCCUCCAAUGCAGAGGUAGGCAAGGACGAAGGCGUGCGAAGCUUGCUCCAUGGUGUGUACCGUCUCACGGAGCUUGCGUACGAAUGCUUCCCCUCUUGCGAAAAGCCUAAUAACAUGGAGAAAACAGAGGAGAAGUUCGUGAAGCGCCACUUGGAGACGGUAAUCGCUGACCCCUGCAAGGACGACGACACGGUACGUACGUACGCACGUGACAUGUAUAAACUCUCUCCGAUCCAUAAAAAGUGUUGUCCAUUUUGUACUAAGUUAGUACUCUCUCCGUACAACAAAAGAUGUUUUAAGUUUGUCAAAAUUUAGAUGUAUUUAGACAUGACUUAGUGUACAAAUGCAUUCAAAUUUGAUCAAAGUUGAGACAUUCUUUGUUGGACGGAGGGAGUACAAAUUUUGUACUGAGUGGACGAAACUUUUUAUGGAUCGUAGGGAGUACAUGAUUAGAUAAAAUUCUUUAAAUGUCACAAACAUCACCUGUAUAGCUCGCUUAGCUAGGAAGCUGGAGUAGCAUAUACUCCAGUAUAUAUUUGAUCUUAUUCACUCACUACUGAUGGUGUGUGUUUGCAAUUUUGCAUGUGCUGUUCUGUACGCGCAGGGCUACGGCGU
rnacentral:lncRNA from 1 species